rnacentral:rRNA from 1 species
GACGAACGCUGGCGGCGUGCCUAACACAUGCAAGUCGAACGAGUGGCGGACUGGUGAGUAAUGUCUGGGAACCUGCCUGAUGGAGGGGGAUAACUACUGGAAACGUUAGAUAAUACCGCAUAUCAUCGGUUGUGCCCAGAGUGGAUUAGCUAGUAGGUGGGGUAAAGGCUCACCUAGGCGACGAUGCCUAGCUGGUCUGAGAGGAUGACCAGCCACACUGGGACUGAGACACGGUCCAGACUCCUACGUGAGGCAGAAGUGGGGAAUAUUGGACAAUGGCCGAAAGCCUGAUCCAGCAAUGCCGCGUGUAUGAAGAAGGCCUUCGGGUUGUAAAGUACUUUCAUUGGGGAAGCGUUACCCGAAGAAAAAGCACCGGCUAACUCCGUGCCAGCAGCCGCGGUAAUUC